rnacentral:tRNA from 1 species
AAGAAAGUGACAGAACGGCUAUGCGGUUGGCUUGAAACCAGCUUACGGGGGUUCGAUUCCCUCCUUUCUCG